AACGAACGCUGGCGGCAUGCCUAACACAUGCAAGUCGAACGAGACCUUCGGGUCUAGUGGCGCACGGGUGCGUAACGCGUGGGAACCUGCCCUUAGGUUCGGAAUAACUCCCCGAAAGGGGUGCUAAUACCGGAUAAUGUCUUCGGACCAAAGAUUUAUCGCCUUUGGAUGGGCCCGCGUUGGAUUAGCUAGUUGGUAGGGUAAAAGCCUACCAAGGCGACGAUCCAUAGCUGGUCAGAGAGGAUGAUCAGCCACACUGGGACUGAGACACAGCCCAGACUCCUACGGGAGGCAGCAGUGGGGAAUAUUGGAAAGUGGGCGAAAGCAUGAUCCAGCAAUGCCGGGUGAGUGAUGAAGGCCUUAGGGUUGUAAAGCUCUUUUACCCGGGAUGAUAAUGACAGUACCGGGAGAAUAAGCACCGGCUAACUACGUG
rnacentral:rRNA from 1 species